CGGAUCCAUUUUUCACUGACACAAUAUGGUGCAAUUGAAAACGGAUCCGUCCCCCAUUGACUUUCAAUAUAAGUCAAGACGGAUCCGUUUUGACUUAGACUUUUUUUGAAUGAAUAAUGAAAACUGAUUCGUUAUGAAUGGAUACAAGAGUUUGCAUUAUCGGUGCAGAUCCAUCUGUGCAGAUACAAUACGGAUCCGCACC